GACGAACGCUGGCGGCGUGCCUAAUACAUGCAAGUCGAACGAGAGCGACCGGUGCUUGCACUGGUCAAUCUAGUGGCGAACGGGUGAGUAACACGUGGGUAACCUGCUCAUCAGAGGGGGAUAACAUCCGGAAACGGAUGCUAAAACCGCAUAGGUCUUCGAGCCGCAUGGCUUGAAGAGGAAAAGAGGCGCAAGCUUCUGCUGAUGGAUGGACCCGCGGUGCAUUAGCUAGUUGGUGUGGUAACGGCUCACCAAGGCCGUGAUGCAUAGCCGACCUGAGAGGGUGAUCGGCCACAUUGGGACUGAGACACGGCCCAAACUCCUACGGGAGGCAGCAGUAGGGAAUCUUCCGCAAUGGACGCAAGUCUGACGGAGCAACGCCGCGUGAGUGAAGAAGGUUUUCGGAUCGUAAAACUCUGUUGUUAGAGAAGAACAAGUGCUAGAGUAACUGUUAGCGCCUUGACGGUAUCUAACCAGAAAGCCACGGCUAACUACGUG
rnacentral:rRNA from 1 species